GACAAUUCUCUCUAGCUAGUUAGCUAAGUGAAGUUAAUCUCCUUCUGAUUUGAUUUCAACAAUUUGUUGUAUGUAUUUCAAUUUUUAGUCCUUGCUUUCCGGAUGACUAUCAGCAGGCGGGUGAGCAGACCUCAUGGUGGGGUCCAGCAUCACACCACUGAUGCUGUAAUCAGUCAACUCUCCCUCCUGCUGAGAAUCCGAUUGCAGAGAGCUCAGUGUUACUACAAGAAAGGAACAAGAACAAGACCGAAAUACAAAGCCAAACAGGAUAUUCAACUUAGAGGUCUGUGGGGGUGUGCGUGUGUGUGUGUGUGUACUCCACACUGACUUUGUCUUAAUAAGGACAUGCAUUGAGAGACAGCUGGUGCCUUGAUGGAGCUCUUUGAAGAACAUGGAGGGACUAAGAACUAAGUGAAUUAAUUGCACCCAGAGAAUACCAGCGGUAUGCAGACUGUGUUCUUCUAACAGCCUUUCACUGAGGCGUCAGCGUCAGAUGAAACUGUGGUAAGAACAAGCCCAAGAAAUCCCAGUCAACAAAGUCUGAUGGGGCAUGAUGGGAGAGUACAAUCACUUUUCUGUCUGAGGUGGUGUACAGUGUGGCCACGAAUUUGAAUCCACAGUGCGCACACUAUAUAGACCCU